rnacentral:rRNA from 1 species
GGAGUAUGGACCGUGUCUCAGUUCCAUUGUGGCCGUUCAUCCUCUCAGACCGGCUACCGAUCGUCGCCUUGGUAGUCUCUUACACUACCAACUAGCUAAUCGGACGCAGGCUCCUCGCAAAGCGAUAAAUCUUUAGUAGCAACAUCAUGCGACAUCACUACAACAUCCGGUAUUAGCGUCCCUUUCGGAACGUUGUCCCCGUCUUUGCGGCAGAUUACCUGCGCUUUACUCACCCGUUCGCCACUGACACCGAAGUGCCCGUUCGACUUGCAUGUGUUAAGCACGCCGCCAGCGUCGUCCUCGAGCCACGGAUCAACUACU